CUCCUUUAGUAGUUUUUCCUUAAAUUGGGCCCACCUGGCAAUCUAAUAAUCACAGGUGUCCGAGAUUGGUUUCAGCGCUCAAAAGAGCCCUGAGACACAAUGCCAUCCAUGAGUUAAACUGAAAAACUAAAUAUUUAAUCUUUGUGACACUUAAAUAGAAUUUGCAUAAUAAUUUGGAACAAGGUGUAAUGAUAAUUUGAGAAUAUAUCUCCAGCCAAAUCCAUUUGGUAACCAUUUUUGCCUAAUAUUGGUGCUUGCUGUGUAUUCUGGACCUUCUACAAAUUGGGUCUCCAG